CUGUUAGUGUAGAGCAGUUAAGUAUCAUAGCUGGCCGGGCGCACCCAGAAGAUGUCUCUAGCCCUCCAAACGGUAUUAGCAAGAGAGCCAAGGCAUAGCCUACAUACAGGGAGAUAGACACCGACAGGAAGGGAAAGAAGGGUGUCAAGUCUCUCUGCUAUGGCUGAUAAUCAAGCGGACGACGACGACGACGAAAGUUUCGGUGACUUCAAGUUUGUUUCUUUUCCAAAUCAGCCUUUUCAGAACAAUGGGAAAGGCCUCCCCGCCGAUGAUGACGAGUGGGGCGAUUUCAUGAACCAUUCCAAUCAGAUCAAUGGCGGAUCGGUCCACACAUCCAAUGGACUCUUCUCUUCUAACUUUCCCUCUAGCCCCUACAACACUUGUAAUUUUUUUGACCCGGUUCAGGUUUCCCAAGAUCUUACACAGAAAAACAGCUCACCGGCAAAAGAGAUCAAUCGGGUUGAGUUGGCGCCGACCCCGGCAGAGCCAGAAAAGCCCCGGUGGAAUAAGCCCCAGGGUGCCCUGCCGCUGUCAAUCUUUGGCGAGGAGGAGGUGGAGGAGGAACCCACCGCAGGCAAUCUUCCUUUUGGAGAUGAUGCCAAAGUACUCUCUAAAAAAAACAGUGAUUGCGUGAAGAAAGAAUCCGAUUCGAAUGGCGCCAUUAGAAUGAUUGAUUUAAUUGCGAAUUUGUAUAAUCAACGCCCUGAGAUGAAUUUUGACAACGGAUCGAUUUCAGUAUUAAGUGUGUCUGAUUUGAAUUUGCCCGGAGCAAGCUCUAAAGUCGUCAGCUCGGUAACGACUGUGGCUGCUUCCAAUGCAGACGCGAAUGGAUUAAACUCCAUUCUAAACAAUUUGAAUUCUGAUUCAGUGGAUGGAUUCGAGGACACUGGUGAUGACGACGGUGGAUGGGAAUUCAAGUGGGCAGAAUCUGAAAUCCGAACUGUGAGCAAUGAUACUAAGGUAGAACAGACAAAGCAUGAAACAACUAGUUCAGAUGAAUAUGCAUUCACCUUCAGCAAUGGUGUGCUUGGAGUUGAUGACAUGUUGGACUCAUCCAGCAGGAUUUCCCACAAAGCUGAUGAAUGGAACCUGGGAUUUGAGUUCAAUCCAAGUUCUGUCAUGCAAAAUCAUAUUCAAGUAUCAGAAUCAGGUUCAAAUCAUAAUUUGGAAGCUCCAAAGUUGGCUGCCACAGAUCCAGUUGGUGAGGAAGCAUCCUGUAAUCCUGAUGAUCGAUAUGUUGCACCAGAAUCUCAUCAGUUUGAUGACUUGAAUUUUGGCUCUAAUUUCUAUCCUAGUUCUCUGGGUGAAGUCCAUCAGACAUCAGUGUCAGAUUCUAAAAGAAAGCAGGAUGAUGACAACAGAAAUUUCAAUGCUUUCCCUGCAAAUUCUGAUGUUCAUUUUGAUGUAAAUUUGUUUCAAUCUAAGGAUGCAGUUUCGGAAGUUGGAACAGACCAGAAGAAGAGCCAAGUAAACUCAGAGAACUGUAGGGAAGCCUUGUCCCUCUCAAUAUUUGGUGACGAGACACCAGAUACUGAUGAGCAUUCUGUGUUUCAAGGUUUUUCUUCUGAUGCACCAGCAUCCUCUAUAAGGAAUAACUUUAAUAGCGCUGGUUCCAACUUAUCUAUCAGUGAUUUGAUAUGGAAUUUAUAUGGUCAAGCUGAACAAAAAACUUCUCAUGUCACACCAGAAGUAAGUGAAAAUGGUCAGGUAGAGCCGGACUCCAAUUUGGUUACUGGUGACGAUGAUUUUAAUGAUGACUCCUGGGAAUUUAAGGAUGCUUCACAUGGAACUAGAAGUCUUGAAUCUGUGGAGAACACUCAUUCUAAUCACAAACCACAAGUCAGUGAAAACGGGCUACAACCUUUACCUACAGUUUGGAAACCUGAUUUGAUUAAUGAGGAUGAAUCAUGGGAAUUUAAGGCUGCCCUCUGUUUAGCAGACAGCAAAUAUCAGGGAUCUGUUAUAGAUCACAAGGAUUUUCCUCUGCAGUCGUCAACAAAAGUAGAGCCACCUGAUUAUGUAGAUUUCUAUUGCAAAUUGACUGAUGAAUUGUGCAAUGCUGUCCUGUUCCAUCUCCAGAAUCUCAAGAAUUGUGAAAGCGUUGCUACACUUAAUGGUGAAGAAGCAAAAGCAAAGGCACUUCAGGAAGAAAUGCAGGAAUUAUUUGACAUGCUACAUCAGUACAAUGUCCUACUAAAUGAACAUAUUUCAGAGGAUCAAUCUACAAGAAAUGUGUGUCUUGACAAGCUUAUUGAAGUUUUGAAGGAACCUAGGUUUCAACCUCUUGAGUCAGAUUACAGGCUAACAUCAAGGUUGUCAAUGGCAGAGACAAAUAUACGAUCUGCUAUUGAACUCCUAAAAGAUGCGCUAUCAACGUUAAAAGUUCUCCAGUUGAGGUCAAGAGAAGAACAAUCUAGUUAUCUUACUAUGUGGUCCAAAAUAGCCUUGGUUUGUUCUGAGGAGCUCAAACAUGGUGCCUUCAUUUGGAACAAGUCAGCAGAGAGGAAUGUCCACGACCAAAUAUUAGCUAACCCAAAAGGCUAUCAGUAUAUUCAUGCACUUGGAGAAAUUUGUAGAGUGGCAGAAAUUGUUGGACUCUCAGCCAAACUUCACAAGCCAUGGAUGUUGUUGGGUUCUGCAGAUCCUGCUAGAUUGUUUGCUCUUUUGAAUGAGUCUUAUACCAUAUGGUCCGAUUCAGGACUUGAAGAUGCCCUUCUUCGUGUAUCCAAUCAAAGUAAUGUAGAGCAAGAAAGCAUUUCAAGGCAAUUGCUUGAAUCCAUCAAGUAUAUUCAUGAGCUUGACGAGCAAGAACUUCAGAGCUGCAUUAUCAGUGGAGAAGAAACUACUUGCCAGUUGUCAGCCUUACCUGCUGGUUUUAUACCAGGAUUGAAAAUGGUAACCUGGAACGGGAAGCAGUAUUUCCUCACGCUUGCAAACUUGUGGAUAAAUCUAGUGAAUUCAGAUUUUCCUUGUUGAGUCAGCGACGCCUGGCAACGUUUGUAUGCUGCCUAUAGCAAGGGGACUCUUCCAUCAGACUGUUCAAGUGCUGUUGAAGCUUUCUUGUGAAAAGAGUAGUGUAAGCGAGAUUUCGGCAGCAACCAGCUUUUUUCCCUGGUCGAAGCCUUCCGGAGCUCUCUCAGAUGUGUUGCUGGUCUGGAAUGAUUGAUUGUAUGGGGUGAAAUGUUGCGAGUCAAUUUUUGAAGUCCUCAGGAUCACAUUUGCAUGACUGCUUGUGCGAUCAGGCAAAGCUUCCGACCCAUCCUUUACUCUGAUAGGCGCUCCCAUUCCCAUGCUUAGAGAACCCAACAAAUUGCACAAGUCACGUUGAUGAAGGAUUAAUUAAGAUAUUCGCGAACGCUGAACGAAGACAGGCCAACAAGAUCACAUAGCGUCGUAGAUGGCAAGACGAAGACUAUGGGAGAUGCAUAGUGGGAAUUUUUCAUGUCUCCCUUCAGUUUAUUGAAUCUGUUCGGAGAGGAGCAACCCAAGACUAUGAUCUUGGCAUCAGAGCUAAAAUGAGUUCUAAAAUAUCGCCGUUUUACAAUAAUUUGUUUCCUUUUCUUGUAUUCAGUCUUUAGAGGAAGUGCCUCUUUGGAUAAUGUUUUUAAUCAAUUUUAGAGGUCAAAAUUAUGGUUUUGUAUAAA